UACGAAGGGAGCUAGCGUUGUUCGGAAUCACUGGGCGUAAAGCGCACGUAGGCGGAUGUGUCAGUCAGGGGUGAAAUCCCGGAGCUCAACUUCGGAACUGCCUUUGAUACAGCACGUCUUGAGUCCGAUAGAGGUGGGUGGAAUUCCUAGUGUAGAGGUGAAAUUCGUAGAUAUUAGGAAGAACACCGGUGGCGAAGGCGGCCACUGGAUCGGUACUGACGCUGAGGUGCGAAAGCGUGGGGAGCAAACAGG
rnacentral:rRNA from 1 species